GCCAGCGUGGCUUAGUGGUUAACGCAUCUACCUAGUGAGCAGGAGGCCUGGGUUCGAAUCCCAGCAUUGGUA